CAGCAUAAACCACGAAAUUUAUCUUUCAACUCUGUUUUUUUCACCAAAAUAAUAUUCUAAUAAGAGCCCCCUAUUUCUAAUUUUGAGAGCGCCCUGGGCGCUUCUUACGUCGAAUACGGUAUAUCUUAGCGGCCAGGCCAGAUUUUAGAUAUCUUUCAAGAAUUAAGAAAUCUUAGUAUGGGCAUUAACAUACCUCAGCAGCAUGAAGGGCAUUAAGAUAUCUUAGUAGGCUGGCUAGCACGAAGAUAUCUCUCUAGUUGGGUCUAGCAUUAACAUAUCUUAGUGUUAGUUAUUGCUACUGAGCUAUCUUAGCAGCCAGGGCUCACGCUAAGAUAUGUCAGGUGCCAAGACUAGUCUUAAGAUAUCUUAGCAAUCAGGUCUAAGAUUAACAUGUUUAAUGUUAAGAUAUCUCAGAAGCCAGGGCUCUCACUAAGAUAUAUCAGGAGCCAAGACUAGUCUCAAGAUAUCUUAGCAAUCAGGUCUAAGAUUAACAUGUUUAAUGUUAAGAUAUCUUAGAAGCCAGGGCUCACACUAAGAUAUGUCAGGUGCCAAGACUAGUCUUAAGAUAUCUUAGCAAUCAGGUCUAAGAUUAACAUGUUUAAAAGCCAGGGCUCACGCUCACGCUAAGAUAUGUCAGGUGCCAAGACUAGUCUUAAGAUAUCUUAGCAAUCAGGUCUAAGAUUAACAUGUUUAAAAGCCAGGGCUCACGCUCACGCUAAGAUAUGUCAGGUGCCAAGACUAGUCUUAAGAUAUCUUAGCAAUCAGGUCUAAGAUUAACAUGUUUAAAAGCCAGGGCUCACGCUCACACUAAGAUAUGUCAGGUGCCAAGACUAGUCUUAAGAUAUCUUAGCAAUCAGGUCUAAGAUUAACAUGUUUAAAAGCCAGGGCUCACGCUCACGCUAAGAUAUGUCAGGUGCCAAGACUAGUCUUAAGAUAUCUCAGCAAUCAGGUCUAAGAUUAAUGUUAAGAUAUCUCAGAAGCCGAGCACUAAGAGGAGCAGGGCGAAGUCCCUCCACAUAUUUGACACAUAUUUUCUCCAGUAUACAGGAUAUUUAGUUCUUAGAUUCAUCUGUUUUCUGUUUUAAGUGCCUAUUCCCAGUUGUUCCUACUUGAGAGUAUAUUGUAUAAUAAUAUCUGUCUUUCCCCAAUCAACUGUGAUAUGUAUUAAUUUAUUCUCUUUUAGAAGUGCUUUAGAUGUUUUUUGACCUGUUUAGCUAGAGCAUAACGGCUGUAGGAGAUUUCAGCUGUGUACAGGACGCUGCCUGGACAGAUUGCCUGUUUUCUUAGUUUUGUGGUAUGCAAACUUUUAGCUAGAAUAAUUACCUGCCCUUGCAAUGUACAAUUUUUGCCAGUGAAAACACUUAAAGUUCAAAAUAAAGUAAUAUGAAUUGA